CUUUGCCGGCGAGCGGCGAGACGGGUGAGUAAUGUCUGGGAAACUGCCUGAUGGAGGGGGAUAACUACUGGAAACGGUAGCUAAUACCGCAUAACGUCGCAAGACCAAAGAGGGGGACCUUCGGGCCUCUUGCCAUCAGAUGUGCCCAGAUGGGAUUAGCUAGUAGGUGGGGUAACGGCUCACCUAGGCGACGAUCCCUAGCUGGUCUGAGAGGAUGACCAGCCACACUGGAACUGAGACACGGUCCAGACUCCUACGGGAGGCAGCAGUGGGGAAUAUUGCACAAUGGGCGCAAGCCUGAUGCAGCCAUGCCGCGUGUAUGAAGAAGGCCUUCGGGUUGUAAAGUACUUUCAGCGGGGAGGAAGGUGCUGAGGUUAAUAACCUCAGCAAUUGACGUUACCCGCAGAAGAAGCACCGGCUAACUCCGUGCCAGCAGCCGCGGUAAUACGGAGGGUGCAAGCGUUAAUCGGAAUUACUGGGCGUAAAGCGCACGCAGGCGGUCUGUCAAGUCGGAUGUGAAAUCCCCGGGCUCAACCUGGGAACUGCAUUCGAAACUGGCAGGCUAGAGUCUUGUAGAGGGGGGUAGAAUUCGAGGUGUAGCGGUGAAAUGCGUAGAGAUCUGGAGGAAUACCGGUGGCGAAGGCGGCCCCCUGGACAAAGACUGACGCUCAAGUGCGAAAG
rnacentral:rRNA from 1 species